ACAGGAGGGUGUCAGCAACAAGUAUAGCUGAAAGCAGCCUAUUUGCUUUGUGUAUUUUAAUAGAGAGCUCCUGCUACACUGAAGCCUGCGUGUGGCUUAGCAAUAGCCUCCUCUGUGUUGCCCUAGCCCCGACUCAUCAUUUGCUGCACAGCUAGGACUAAAGGCUGGACCCUGCCUUUAAGACACAGCGUCUUAACCUUGCUUUGCCCUUCUGCCAGACAACAGCCGCUUUGUUUCCCUUCACUAACAGUCAGACAUCACAAAUUCCUUCUCUUUAAAGCCAUUAAAACAGAACCAGCACCACCCCAAGUGGUUUCAGAACUAACUGAUUUAGAUGCUGGAGUCUGCUGCAAGGCCAAAAAUAACUCCCCAUUUCUUUCUCCUUCAUUGGUGAAAGUAGGAGGGAAAGUGGCCAAUGACAAAGACACAAAUCCCCCGUAGGCAUCAGAGACAAAUCUAUUUCAUGGCAGGAAAAAAAAAUAAUGCUCUUGAAAAAAAUGUUUCUUUGCUCUGGCCAAUAGAUACAGAACUGCUGCAUGCAAUUUUAAGAUGGUAUCGCUUGAAUGGCUCACAGACUACAUAAAAUGCAUUACAUAAUUAUAUUUUUAAACACUGUCCCCAGCUGUGCUGAUGCACAUAAAAGCUGUGUUUACAAUGGACUCUGCACAUGUAAUUAUUUUGUGGCACUAGCUCUGUGUGUUUCCUUGAUGGAUGCUCCAUGGUGCAUAUAAUUGUAGCUUUAUCAUACGUUCUUGAAUAUAUUCUUUGGCUGUUUCGGCUUUAAAUACCCUGUUGUCCUUGCAUGGUUGAACAGGACUGAUGCCUGGAAGGGCUAAAUUAUAGCAUCUGAGGGAACACCUUUAAGUCCCCUGGGAGCAGCAGAGGGGGAACAUGAUGAGUGUUGAAGUCCAGGCACCUGGGUCACGGGAAGCACCGAGCAGCUGAGCUGGCUGCUCCUCCGCAAGGUUUGCUGUGCUGUUCCCUGGGACAGAGCAGCAGCUCCUCUGCUCCUGUUUGGCCUGCACAUGCUCAUCCCGGCCUAAUUAAUGCUGCAUGGACCCAGCUGCCUUGCAGCACAAGGGAGGCCAGGCAAUGCCUUACGCCUGUGUGAGGGCAGGAGCGAAGGGGCUGGAGGCUGACGGUGCAGAGUCAAACAGAACGCAGCCCGGAUGGUCGGGAUCAAAGAGCAGCUUUGAUUUCUGUUUGCAUACAGCGAGCGAGCUCCUGGCAUUUCGCUGUGAGCUCUCCCUUGUCUGUUCUCCAUCCACUUGUGGAAUACCUAACGCUUCUUAAUACUAGCGCAGUAGCUGAUGUGCAGGACCCAGCGAAGAGGACAGUGGGAUAUUUAUCUUAGAUCUGUUCCAGUGUUCUUGAGUAUUAAUGUCCCUGUGAAAACCUAGAUGCUGGAAGGAUCAGUACACAUCACAGUCCAAGAGUUUUGCCUGCCAAGCAAUAACACUUGGAAAUAAAUAAAGACAAAAAGUAAUACAAUAUCCUGAACAACAGCUUCAAAAUGAUGGAAUAGCAUCAUCACAGGUAACUACCUUUUUUUUUUUUCUGUUGCUGCAAAGAACUGGCAGACUUUGAUUGCUAAUAAGCAAAAUGGUUUGGCGUUUUACCUCUCAUCCCUGGCUAGCCUUAGAUAUGAGACUCCACAAAAGAAAUGUGGAUUUUGUUGUGGGCCGGUUUAUAAUGGCAGGUGUUUUAUUGGAAGUCAGGCCUGCUUUCCGGUAGUAGAUAGCUUGAAUUCCUUUGUUAUCAUUCCUUACCCUUUUCAGUCCUCUGUUUGGUUGUGGAAGCUGGAAGCCUAUGCUUCCCAAAGGCUAGUUACACCAUGUAAAGUAAUUGGUCUAAUGCUAAUAGUGACUGAAUUAUUCAACAGCAAAUGGCCCAACGGUUUUCCACCCUCACGUGAAUAGUGUCUUUUCCUAUCAUGGAAACUGUCCAGCUAUGGAUGUCCUUAGCAUUCCCUCUGUUUGGCAUGUGAAGUUUACAUACCAGCUUCUAGGCUGUUGAUGCAUUUUGCACCAAAGGGUCAGGCGAUGGAAGAACAAUCCUUGGAGUGGAAAAAAUGUGGAACUGCAAAAGUAUAUUGUAUGUUUGCUUGCAUAGUCUGCCUUUCAGAUAAACCACAUCCCUGCAGGUAUACUGGCACUUGAAAAAGAGUCUUUGGAUAACCUGCACAGAAGCUGAACCACCAGAGGUGCUACUUCAGAAAAGCAAGCAGAUGAAGGUACCAGCAGUAGUGCGGGGGAACCCCUUGUAUUGUUCAUAUACACGUCCAUCCUGUUUAUGAAUAACGUGCUUGCAUUAUUGCUCUUCCACAUUGGUCACAGUCCCUUGCUGCAGCCCCUUGUGCAAGACUUUUGUGUUUAUCUUUAUGGUACAUGGAGAUAAGAAUUGCCUGCCUUUUGCAAAAUGUUGGUGUUGCGUACAGACAAGAGUAAGAGUCCACGCUGAAGUUAGUGCAAAUUUUGCAGUUCAACAAGAACAAAACAGCCCUCUUAAGACUACUGUUUGAACCCUGACCUUUGCCUUUUUGUGUCUCUAAGUCCCCAGAAGCUUCUGUUUCCAAAAGCAAAAUAACGCUUUAAGAAAUCAAAGUUCAGUGUAAAUGAUGUCAUGGCUAUAGGGGUUGAGGGGGUUGAGGUGUCAUCUUUUUUGCAGUAAGUCCCUUUUGGAAAUGUCCGAUAAAGCCAGAAAUAAAAUGGGACUUAUUUUACAGAUUUUUGGAGCAGUAUAAUUCCAUUCUCACUAUAUUAUUAUCUGUGAGAAGCUUUUCCUUUUUUAAUUCCAUAAAGCUCUAUCACUAUAUUAUCUGAGCAGCUAAGUACUCAGAUUAUGUAAGUUGAACAUAAUAGGAUGUCUGUAAAACUUUGCUGCUUACAGCCUUGGAAAUUUCUGCGUUGCUUUUCUAUGGUGACUCAGCUGCAGAUCUCCCAUAUGAUCUAGGAGAAUGCGUGGUGGGGUGGGAUUUCCGUCCUCUGAAGGAGUUUGGCGUGGUCCUCGGGUACGACCUCAGCUGCAGCCUUGCUCUCCUCCCACAUCCCCUGAACUUCUCUGGGCAACCUUUAACUGCUGAUCUGCGGAUGCUUGCUGUAGUUCCUGCCAUGCAUUUCAGUUCUGUCCUUCUAGGAAUGUUUACCUUAUGUUUUCAAAGCAAUCCACCUUUUGAUUUGCACAGCGGGAGAGUUCGCCUGUUGUACCAGAUAGCAACCUCAAUAUGUACUUUCACAGUCUGUUUCUUAUAGAGGAUAUUUUUGGCCCCUAAGUGAUGUUCUAAGAAUAAUUCUACCAGUGCUAUUUUUAUGAUAUGUAUAGCUUCACGGUGCAUUACUAACCAUAUGGCCAAGCAUAGUACAUGCAGCUACAUGGCAGGGUUUACUGUCCAGUAGGAAUGAGAAGCGUGUAUUUGGAAUAGAUGUGUAUUGGGGGGAAAAAAAUUCAACUUCAAAGGUACAGGCUUAGGACCUUUAUUGUUUCUCUUGGUUCUCCCUUGGUUUUAAAUGAGGUUCGGCAUCAUCUCCCUUGGAACGUCACUGCAAUAAUGUGGGCUCAGAGCAGGUGUUUUUGCUUUGCCUUGCUGAUGACAGUCAGGAGAUAAAAUGCAGAGGAGUAAAUUCUGCCUGGCUGCUGCAGGUUGCAUCACUCAACCGCUGGUAGGUCUCUGAGAAGUGUUACUGAUAGCUAGAUUUUAUCUUGGCAGGGGUAAGAGCUCAUGAAACGGGAUGGCUCAAGGAAUGACUAAUGAAAGCUUUAUGAUGAAACUUCUGUCUAAGCCACGUCAACUGCGACCGAAAAUUAUCACCGGAGGGUUAUUUGACCUAGGGUGAGUGAGCAGGUGCCCUGAGUCCAGCUUCUGGUAGAGAUGCGUCUUCAAUGUAAAAUCCACUGCCUCACUUUGUAUCAAUUAACGUCAGUGGGGAAAAACCACAAAUGGUGAUGUGGCAUGGUGGUGAACUACGCUCUUACCCCUCAAGUGGCUUCUCCGAUUUAGAGCUGGACCAUUUAAUGAGGCAGAUGAUAUUGCCGUUACUUUGGGUUUUUCUCUUCUGCAGAUAAAUCAUUCCAGUCAGAUGUAUACACACAGCUGUGUUUUGUGUGUUCACGCGGAAACGCAGACUCCAGUUCUCUCAGGAACAGUCCCAGCUACUCAACUGGGACAACAUUAUCAAUACAGGCAUCAUAAUAUUUAGGUGGGCCUCCUAUGCAAAUGUCACAGGGAGUCCCCCUGCGUGACUCUAAUUUAUUACUCUACCAAAAUAUCCUUUUUCAGCUCCUUGAUCCCAGUCCCUGGGAUUUACAGUGCUUUAAGGGGGUAUCUUUGCUUUUCUUAUGACAUCAGUAGCUCCUGUACAAUCCCAAAUCGUUAGAUACGCACUUAAGUCAAGGUGGAGGUUUCACCUAGUGUAUUGACUUAGUACGCUCAGUAAAAUCACCUACCGCUUUAUUAUGCCAGUGAUCAUGCCCUGCUUUCUGUAAAACAAUGUCCAAUUUCCCUGUGUCUGCCAUAAGGCAUUAUUUCCCCUGAGGAAGAACAAAAUCCACCUUUUGGGAGGGGUUGCAAACGAGGCAGGAUGUGCUCAAGGUGCAGGGGGUAGAAAGGGGAUGUUUGCCAGCUUUGCUCUAGGGAGUUGGAAGACAAGGCGGGAAUUGGGGAAGUCCGAGCUUUAGCCUUGACUCGGAUAAUGAUCUUCUGUGUGGCCUUUUGUACCCUCUUUCUGUUUCCACUUCAUUUUGCCCAAACCUAAAAUGGAGUUCAAAAUUGUCAUUGCUCUAACACCUCCCCCUCCCCACACACACACGCAGAGUUCUGAGAAGGUUUAAUGUUUAUCUCGGAGGCUUUGAACAGUAACAUACAUCCAGGAAAUGUAUACGGGCAUUCAGACCCCAGAAUGAGCUUUACAAAAUCAUCAGGAAAUCAAAUGGCACUUAUAUUAAUCAUAAAUUUGGGAUCGGAACAAAAUAUGUGGUUAACAAACCUGCAAAACAAGCUUUGUUUCAUUGGCUUGAGCUGCUUUAUAGUUCUGUUUGUCUGUGUGGAAGUGAUGUUCAGUCUUUUUAAAUGAGUCACAGGACUGGAAGAACAAAAAUAUUUGCUGGUAACAUAUAGCAGCAAAACAAUUACUCUUUUCAUUCUGACAAGCACGAUAACCAGAAUAGCUAGUUAGAGCUAGAGGUCUAGGCUGGUAGUUUCUUCCCAUGUAUCAGGGAUUUUAGAUCUGCUUGCAAGACAGUGAAACAGAACUGAAAUGUCGUAACAAUAAAAAGACAACAUUAGAUCAAACAAUAAAAUCAAGCAUGCCUAUUAGCAUACAGCUAUUUACACUGAUGAAGGCUCUCCUGGUCAGUGAGUCCAUGCAGUAUUCUCACACGGCGCAGCCUUGCCUAGCAGCUUUCUGUACCUUUAUCCAGAGGAGACUCCUUUCCACCCUGCUUGCUGCAUUGCACCACUGAUUUAGUGAAGACAUCAUCCUCGUAAGGAUGCUCUUCUAACUCACCUCUGAAAUCCGCUUGCUUUUCUCCUCUGACAAUUAGGUUUAAAUGUGCUGCAGCAAAGUACUCAUCCUUAGCAGUCGUAUGGCUUUUUAAGUGAUAAACUGCAUUAGCAAAUUCCUUAUUAGAUAAUCUAUCAAAUGAGGUCAUGCAUAAUUUUAGCAGUCUCAUCUUGAUUUAUAGCAUGAUCGCAGCAAAUUAUGCAUACACAAACCAGCAUGGUGGCUGUCAAAGCCAGGUAUUUUUACUCUGCUAGAAAAGCUAUUUCCAGGCCAGCCCAGUGGCCUACUGGUAGCACUCUGCCCCGUCACAGCUUGCCCAGUUUGUGUUACAGCCCUCGGGCUCACCCCCUCACCUCUUACUAGGACUGACGAGAGUUCGAGGCAGGAGUCUAAAUCCUUGCUUCAUAACCUCCUAACAGUAAUCCUUAAUGGUGUUUAUUCUGACAGGUUUUCCGUGCUCCCCUGAAGGAGGGGCAUAGGCUCACCAAAAGGGUAAGCUUAGGUAUGGGGAGACUGGGUCUGCGGGGUGCUGAUCUGCUCCCUGCCUCCCUUCUGCCUUCCCAAGGGAAUGAAAAGCUCACUGUCGGAGUGAAUCAUCAGCCAGCGUUGCACACGCCUGUAACGGAGCCUGCUUCGUGGUCCGGGCUGCUGGGGCCGGUGGAGGUUUGGUCGCCUGCACCCACGGGCACUGGGGGAGGCAGUGCUCCGGCUCCUACGGCCAUCUGCAUUGGGAAGCGUGCCACCCGCCUUGCUAACUGGCAGAAGUGAUGAAAUUCAGGGAAAAUGGGAGGGAGGGUCAGGAACAAACGCUGUUUCUGAACUGCGCUUCGCAACUGCUGUUGCACUUCUGCUCGCUGCACUGCAAGGGAAUUGCUCCUGGGAUCCGGAAGGGACGUGAUUCCUAUCCCCCAGCUUCAAACGUCUUCUGCAAACAACAUUUCAUCCGUGGAGAUUUAUCUGUAAUUACCAUAGGGGGGAGCUGCAAUAAAUUAUCUAGUCUUGCCUUUCCCUUCACCUGCUCUCACCUCACUUUGGUAUUUCUAGGGUUUGAGCUGUGCGAAGUGGCGAGCGUACAUGUCAUCUGCGUGUCUCGGAAUAAGUUAUGCCUCUCCCGCUGGACUUACAGCCAAACCCUCCCCGUGAAGAACAAAGCGGGACAGAACAAGAUGUGUUCCUCAGCAGUCCAGUCUGCAGGAAGGCUGAAAUCAGUGUGGCCCUAUCAGUCGUUUUCUCAGUCUACUCUGGAACAGAAGAUUUGUCCCAAAGAGGCUCAAGCUAUGUGAAAGCAGGCACACCAGGUGCAGGGGCAGCUCUCGUCCGACGGUGACUGCUUGGCAUGAUGUGGGAAUGAGUGUCGUGCCAUCAGGAAGCCGCAGCUCCAUCCUCUGCAAUGUCAGCAUCGGCCCUCCCCACCCCGGGGGCGGUGGCGAGGGCUCAAGGGAGCCAAAGCCGAGGCAAAGGAGAGGGGCAGAGACCGGCCGCAGGGAGGUGCGCGGCAGGGGCGCGCAGCAGCUUGUCCCUUUCCAGGUGAAGGCGGCAAUCUCUGGUGGGUGCUGCACAAGGGGAGCUGUGGCGCAGCGGGCAGGGGCAUAGCUGUUGUGGGUGGGGAGGAAGGGCUGCUCUUUAAUUGCCAGCCCAAAUACGAGGACGAGCUGUCGCUGGUGUGGAAGGUAGCAGAUGGCCUAAUUCUGAGAUUCUUUCUUGCAAGAGCAAAAUGAUAUACUGUUUUUACCAUCUUUGCCUAGAGCUGAGUGCUAGCUGCAGAUACUACCAAGAUAUACUGUACAGAGGCACUUCGUGCCAGAAAUGUGCUCUAGUGAUAAUCAGGAGAAAACUCUGCUUGAAGUGACAUUUAAAAAAUAAUUAUUAUGGCCCAUUGCUGUUAGUCACACAUCCCAAAAGCUGAUCUGGCUAACAGAGCUUUCCAAAGCUGCUUCUGCUCGACAUAUCAUCUGGAAAUUAUCCAUCACUGUGUCACCGUGUCUCGCCUUGUAACCACCAGGACACCGUCUAUGUACGCACACCAGAUUUCCCCUCUUCUUGGGGGAAAAUAAUUCUCUCUAUCUUCUGAUUUUUACUUUUUUUUCUCGCGCUGCUUCAGCUGGUUUCAUGCAGAUUCCCGUCUCAGCCGUUUGCUGGAGAGCACAGGCCUUGCUUUCCCAGAGAUGGCUAGGAAGCAUCGCCACCUUGUCGUGCGUGGUGCGAAGCCCCAGGCCAGCACCACCGCUGCGGAGCUGUGAGGUGCCCCGGAGCAGCACUGUGCUCUGCAAAAACACCAGGCCUGGAGGCAGAGAUGGCAGAGCUUGCCUGCGUCACGCUAAUAUCAGGUGCUUGAAACUUUAUAUUGAAGGUGCAGGGUCGUUACUGGUGAGUCGUUACGGCAGGUGCAUUUUGUCAGCUCCAGCUCUGAGCUGACGACAGGGGCGAGGGCAGCGCUUCUCUCAGCUGGGUCAGGCUUUCAGAGAAAACUCUGGUAAGGGCUUAAGCGGGAGAGCAGACUUUGACUAACCUGUAAAUCUGCUUAUUAUUACUUAUCAGUGAGUGCAAAACCCAAGGCAAGGAUCAAGCUUGGUCUGGAAUCAAGUGAAUGCUCCAUUUGAGGAUAACAGCCCUUUUCUUGCUGAUUUUUUUGCAGGCCACUGGAUAUAUUUUUAAGGACUUUUGCCUGCUGAGCAUACCGUGUGCUGUCUCUUCCCGCUGGUCCUUUAAACUUCAUCAUGUUUGUUGGGGUUUUUUGGUAACAAAAGGGCUUUAACGGGUUAUCUGUAAGCUUCGUCUCCUAUAGUAUUGGGAUGUAUUAAACUUUCUUUAAAUCUGCCUUGCCCGUACUGUUCUCCUUCAGAAGACUCUUAUCCAUGCAGUAGAUGUCUGUGCUGCAGCAGACUGUCCUCCUUCCCCUCCUUUCCUCUUAAUUUCUUCCCCCCAGUUUGCUCAGAAGUCUCCUGCUAAAAAUCCCCCACCUGUGACACACCAGCCCAUCUCUCUCAAAUCCCACUGAUUUCAUCUCUCAGCCUCCAAUUAAAUCUCCCCAUCAUCCCCUUCAAGGCCCUCCGUGAAGUUACUUUGCCUUUGAUCUCGUCCCUCCCACUCCUCCUCCUGCCUGUAUUCUCCCAGUCAUCCCUCCUUUCUGCACAUUUUAUCUUGUUCUUGGAUGGUUCAAUCUUGCUUUUUUUCUUCACGCUCCUCCUGAUGCCUCAAUCCAUCUCCCAUUUUCUGUUAGCCAAACAUUUUUCCUCUUGUUCUGUCAACUCUACCUCAAAUCCCCAUCUUUUUCUUCCUUGCUAAGCGGUAUCGCCCCGCGUGCACUCACGCGGAGUCGCCUGAGCUGUUGUCCCAUGUGGCUUUCCUGGAGCGCGUGUUCUUCACGCCAGGAGUUUGUGGUUCUCCUACAGUGCUCACCCCACAGAUACAAACACACAAGGGUCUUUUGAAGAGCAGCAGUUGCUGGUAAGUAACCAUCCAUUAUUAAUCCUGUUGCUCAUGCGACACACAGAAAACUCUGAACUUUCUCUAGCCGGGUAAUAAGAGGAAUCUUUUCUAUGUUGGUGUGAAGGCACGCUUUGGAUGCUCUAGCUAGGUAAACGCAUAGAAGUGCAUGUUAUUUAAACUUCCAGCCACUUAAACUUCCUCCAGGCAAGCAGCAAAGCCAUUUGAGGAACAUAAAUAAGCAGCAGGCUAUUAGGAGAGAUUUGGGGUCUCACUUCGCUGUAUUCCCUUGCACCGCCGCAUCAUCGCCAGCUGCGUUCGAGUUGCCUUUAACAUCUUUACGUUCCUGCACAUGGCAAACAAUAGGGCCUAACUCCCAUGCAGCAGAGGAAAUAUAGCAGCAAGCGUCUCACGUCCAUUUCUCAACUGUCAUCAAAUAGCUUUUAUUCGUGGCAUAGCACAAGUGUCAGCCAACUGGCAAAGGCAGCCUAUAUUAAAAAUGUUGGGGAUUAUUCAUGUCAACAGACACAAGGGAGCUUUUCUCCGUCAGUGGAUCUGCACUAGCGGUGGCAUGAAAAUGCAGCAGGUUCUCUAGGGUAAUCUCAAAUAUGAAUAACUUCAGGAGGAGGCCAACAGCUGACUGUCACUUCCAAGUGCAAUUAAAGAAUUCAUCUAACGCAAUUAGACGAGAGCUUGGAUUAGGUGAGAGGUUUAACUGUGUGGAUAGAUAGAGAAGGCUAUACCAUAAGGAUGUUAUGCAGAAAACCAAGAUGGUAUUUUUUUAAAAAUGCUCAGAUUCAAGAUGGUCGGCAGGUUGUGGCUUCUCAAGUUUGCUUCUGGUUACAUAAUUAGCUGAUAGGUCCUUGGCCUGUUUGAUUGCAGGCGUUUACUGCGCUGUUUGGAAUAUGAUUGCCGUUGGCCACGUGAUUUGUCUUUUAUGGACAAGGUACGAUUUAGAAAUGGACUAAUUCUUUCUCCUUUUAAAAGUUUAAAAAAAAAUCCCUGUUUAACUGAAAAGACUUCAUAUUAAAUUUGCAAGGAUAUUAAUAGGGAAAAAAAAAAGAUAGACACAAGCAGUAAAAUUGCUUACCUAAAAAACAUCAGGUAAAGGUGGAAAUUGAUGGAGGUUUCAGAUGUCUCAGGUUAACUGUGAAGGGCAAUUCCCCGACCCGUUAUUUCCAUCCCAAUGUACUCACAGAAGGCUAUUAUAUUCUGUCAUCUUGCAUUUUUUAACUGUUGCUUUUAAAACAUAUGGCCUGCUUCUUUUCCCCCUCAGUUAUUUUCGACUGGUUUAAUUCUCUGAACUUGGUGAUGUUAUGCGGAUAUGAAAUCAGGAGCAAUUUAAGUGGAAAAUAAAAAAUCAAGGCCCAUGCAAGUUAUCGUGAAUAAGGUGACCUGAUCUGCUCUGACACAGAUCUAUGUUCCACUUAUGCUCUGGAAAACUCUGGAUACUGUAUUUUUGUCAAAACCUAAUUUCUGUACAAACGUGUGAUGCAGAAGAAACCCAACUGGCAAAACCCUCAGAUGUAGCACCCAUGGCAUCUCCAUGACAACAUAUAGAGGCACAGUCUGCUAUAUACAUCGUUAUCAGGAGACUAGCUGCUCCUAGAUUUUUCCCACGUCGAGCUGAAAGGCAGACCGACCAUCAGGGUAGCUGGCUGCAGAGGAUGUUGCUGGGAUUUAAAUGUGGAAACCGCAGUUCAUGAUUCAUGCAGGGUAAGCCGGUGGCAAACGGAGCAGCCUUGCUGGAGAGGUGAGCCUUGCACUGCAGUUUCCCUUGCUGUGGCUGCUUGGUCAAGUAAAGGAAUGGGCACUGGCAGGUCUCCAACGAGCCUGAGAAGUCACGCGGAGGACCUUUGCAGGGUUCUCAAAGUCUUCCUGAAAGGCUGUUAGUGUGACUUACCAGCAGAGCGAGAUAAGAACAGAAGGUAAUUUGGGUUAAUAAGUUAUCCUGAGAGGUUUUGGGUUUUUUUUCCCUGCACGUGUAGAAAGAAAGGGAGAGCAAUCCUGUCCUCUCCCUGGUGGAGAACACUGAACUUCGUUGGAAAAGGUUCGCUCUCCACGCCCUGGCAGCGCAUAGGAAACCAGGGUCAGCAGGCCAGGCUGGGGCCACGUGCAGCCAAGGCUUUUCCCAGAUGGAUGAUCCAUUCCUCACAGGCAAAGGAUCAGACUAGGACCAAGAACAGGAACCUGCCACUCACCAUAUGUGUGUGUGGUUAUCUCCCCUUUUGUAGUCCCCAGUGUUUAUUUCACUGGACAUAAUUGCUCCGUAAACUUCACGUUAAAUCACAUAAUAAACGUUGCCGUGUCAUUUACUUGCUUCCCAGAGCAGUUGGGAGGAGGACCACGGGUUGAUGAGCAGUCCGCAGGGUCAGGAGGCUGACACUUUCCUUCAGGCUGCUCUGCAGAGGGACUGACCCUGUACAGCCGCAAACGCCGGGCCGGGUCUGCCUUAGGCACUGGUGGCUGCGGUGCACCAGCUCCCAGCUGGAUGCUGGAGUCUGAGGAGCGUGGUGAGGAUGCACCAGCUGGGAUCCAAACAGCGACAGACUCCGUAAAUCCCCCCCUCCUGGCUUUCUUCCUAACCUGUCCGUCCCUCAGCUCUUUCCCCCAGUGCUGGUGUGGUUUACGUCACUUCAUUCAAGGGUGAGUGGCUUCAGCUUUGCCUUCGCGGCGGCGGCCGGGCGCGCGCGCGGCAGCUCCUGCAAAGCAGCUGAAGUGCUGUAAUUUCAUACUCCAGCUGACGGUGCAGGAACUUGUUCAUCUGCCUGUCCCCGAGCGUAGACACGGUCCUGGCUGCCGCAGGCACUCUCAGCACGGGCGGUGGAGCUGAGUUAGGGUUUGCAGUAGUUAGGGAACAUUCCUACUAUAAACAAGGCUGUGUGUGUACCCGCCCGAGUAAAGCCAGGUUGGCCUUUUUGUCCUUGUUUCUGACUUCUGGACUGGGGAAGUCUUCUGCUCUCCUACACGCCUCUAAGUAAGGCACCUUAGGCACCUUGCCUCCAUUCUCUGCUGCUCAGCUUUCCUUUCAGAGAAACGGAGAUAACAAUAUUGACCUUCUUGGUAGAGCACUUUCUCACUUUUUUUAUGAGACAUGCUACAUAAAAGCUGACUGUUAGGUUUUGUUCAGCUGUAAAAAGUCCUCAGCUUAACAGUGGGGCACGGUACGUUAUUGGCCAUAAAAAAAAAAACCUUACACUGAUCUUCAGCAUUUAGGGAUAGACCUUUGUUCUGCUUAGUUACUUAUAAUCUUUGGAGGGCUGUGGCCUGGGUUUGUUUUUUUUUCUUUUUUGCUGCUCUCCGUGUGUGUAUGUAUUGUGUACAUAUGGUUGACUUUUGCUUCUAUUAGGGCCAAAGAUCACUUGGUUUAGCUUAACAUACAGAUGUCUGUUGGCACCAGCCAACCGACUGGCCUGUGAUCCACCAUGCAGCACGUUUCCUCUGAAAUGUAAGGGAAGUUAGUUUGCUGACAGACAAGAGAUGGAGUAAGAAACCACCGAACCAAAAAGGACAAAAAGGACUAUGAUCCCCAAGAAAUAAUCUGCCUUUCCUUCAACAUACACUCCAUGAACGGUUUAUGCUGACAGCCAGAGCUUGUCUGUUCAUUGCAGAUAGCCUUUCUCUUUACCGUAACAACACAUAUUUCCCUCUAUGUAGCCUCUGAAGAAGAAAAGAAAUUCCUUUUUUGUCCACAGGGCAGUUGAAAGCUUUGUCUUCCAGCCUGGACAGCAUGGUGCAAGGGUGGCAGUGUGGAGGAGUGCCCAAGUUCAUGGCAGACAGCAUCUGGGCAUGAUGGAGCCCAAGAGUCUUACGUAGGUUCCUAUUCAACAGCAUUUCCACUGCAGUGUCUAGCUACGCGUGCCAGGAAGAUGUAGACAGACAAAAAAACAUCACAGAUAAUACUAGUUCAAAGCCAAGAUAAUAGCAGGAGCAGCAAAGUCAAGCUCCACGAAGUUGCCCACAGCCUGAUACCUCUCAUUCUGAAAAGCAGUGCCUGGAAAUGACAGCAGGGUGUACAAAGCACAGGGCACCCCUGGUGCUGGGCUGGAUGAUACUGGAGCCUCGGCUCUCUGGCUAGUCUCAGGAAGCAGCAGUAGUGGUGGAACAGCAUUUACAACAAUGAUGAUUGAGUUUAGGGUGUUUCAGAAAGAAUUCAGUAUAUCCUGCGGGCUUGGGCUGAUGUUCCUGAUGGAUGGGAACCAUUCAGGUGAGACCAGAAUAAUGAAUCAUUCUUUCACUUACAGAUAACUGAAACAAUUGGAGCUGGGCAGGCUCCCCAUAAGGCUCUUCAGGAAUCUGAACCGAGCAGCAGGAUGGUUUGGCUAGCUGCUAAUCUACCCAUUAAGCUUUCACCUUAUCCUGUUGGCAGAGUUGCAGGUCUUAUUCUGGUUCCCAGUCUUCCUGACCAGUUGUAUCUCCUCCAACCUGAAAACAACCUUCUUCAGCCUUGCAAGGUACAUUCGAUUGGCUUCCCAUCCUCAAGAUGAUGAGUUUAAAACCCUACAGUCUUUGGAAAAUGAAAUUAAAACUUCAGUUCUCAGGACUGUACAUGUGAAAAUCGCUGGAAAGGAGUUUUGGAGGGCUUUUGGCCAAUGCAAUUCAGCGUGAUGAAAAUCCUUAGAAAAAAUUAGCUUUUGUAUGGUAAUUAUAUGCACUGAGUGUCAAUGAGAACGUGUCAGAAAUGCUAUUUGUUUCUAUGUGUAAUAUGAAUAAUGAUCAUUAUCAACAUUACAGAAUGGGGAAAAAGACAAAAAGCAGAUAUUGCAGAUAUGUUGGUGAUAAUGGGCUAUUCAUAGCAGGAAGAUUUUUAAGCGUUCCACAUGGUAAUAUGUAAAUACUUCAGCUGAGCAGAGUUUUAGGUCAUAUACAGUUUUCUUAAGAUUUAUAAAAAGAUGAAGAGUCAGAUUUGCAGAAAAGCAGCAGAGUUGCGUGUAGAGCGGAUGAGACGCAACACCGUCCCCUGCGACGUCCUCAGGCAUCCUGAGCUGAAAGUUACAGCUGGCCAAGCGUCACGUGGAAUUACAGGGCAACUGUGCACCUGCUACCCACUACAGUGCUUUAUGGUUAAUUAUUAUUAUUACUCAGAUACUUAUGCUGCCUGCAGUUUGUAGAUACUGAAAGAAUUUUAAGAGGGACAUAGUCAGAAUUUCUCAGUAUAAGAUCAGGAGCCAAACAUUUCACCUCUAACAGAGGCUUGCUUCAUGGCUUUGGACAAAAUAUCUGCUCUCUCUUCAUUCUCUCUGUAAAUGAGGGCUAGGAUUUGUGUCUCAUAGGAUGUUAUGAGAUUAAUUUUUUUCUUGUAUGCAUAAACUGUUUUGAAGUUGGAAAGGUCCGAGUCUUAUUUCACAACAGCCUUGCGAUUACAGUACCAACGGAGCAGACCCCGUCUCUCCUCGGAA